CAGUCCCUAGCUAAGGCUAGAUUAUCUCCACCCAGCUCAGCAAUUAGCUGAAAUCCUCUUACCCAGUGCCCUACAGUCAAGUUACCUGUGCUUGUUUUUACAGUAUCUUCUCUCCGAGUGACAGUCCUCUAAGGUUGUUGAACCUUGUAUGGGAUGCGAGCACAGGUCACAUAAUCUCUGGUCUGUCUGGCUUGCUUAGAGCACUGGUUCUCUGGGCACUUCAUCCACAGGUCACAGCUUUUGUUCUGUCCUUUUAGCUGAGCCCUAUACCAAACAGCUUGGAAAUCACAACUUCCUGGCUCUCAGAGAGCUUAAAGCAGCUACAAAAAUAACCAUCCUAUGACUAGUGCACUGAAAAGAAACAGCAGGUGAGACUGGGUAUUUCAGGAAAGGUGAGUUCUGACUACACACCCACAAUCCCAGUCCCCCUUCCCUCAAGGGGCCCAGAGCCUGAAGCUCACUGCCUUGCCCUCUGUGUACAUGACUCAGUUUGGGCAGCCUGAUCACCACCUGUCCUUGGCUUGCUGUGUGUUGUGAUAAAACAGAGACCAACCAAAGCAACUUGUGGUUGGAUGGACGGGUCUACUUCCCUUACACUUCCUGCUCAUCGUCUGCCACGGAGGGACGCAAGCAGAAGCUCAAGGCAGGAGCCUGGAGACACAAGCUAAAGAAGCCACAGAGGAAUCACAAAUCCCCGUGAGCAAACACGCCUAAAAAGAUGUGUAAGGCCUGCAGAACUAAGAAGGGAAAUGUGUGUGAUACUGAAGCCAAUCAGCCUGUGGGACUCUGUUCUGGCAAAUGUUAGGUAAGUGACAACUCGUGCUAUGUAUUAGGAUGAAAAUGCCAUCCACGUGGACUCCUGGCUCACACCAUUGCACUUCAUUCACUCCAGGAUCCAUCUGGAAAGCUGGGCAGAAUAACCUCACUCUGAAAAGGGCAAGACCUUUCUCCAUUAAAUGUUCCCCUCCACUUCAGUCAAACAUGGUUCCCAGGUCAACUGAAUCCUUCUUUGGAGUCCAUAGAAACCAGUUUAUUCUUCAAUGCAGUCAUUAACAAUCUCAGAAUUAAAUUAAGACUUUUUUUUUUUUUAAUUUUGGUUUUUCGAGACAGGGUUUAUCUGUGUAGCCCUGGUUGUCCUGGAACUCACUUUGUAGACCAGGCUGGCCUUGAACUCAGAAAUCCGCCUGCCUCUGCCUCCCAAGUGCUGGGAUUAAAGGCGUGCGCCACCAUGCCCAGCUAUAAGACAUUUUUAAAAAAGUUUUUAAUUAGUAGUGGCCAGAAGUCUAUACCCAAUUCUUUUUGCCUAUAGUAAGAAACUAGAGCCCAAUUUUGCUAUACACAAGAGUGAUAGCCAUAUUCCUACUAGCUUGAUCUCCCAUGUUUUGUUUCCCCAAAUUUACAGUGCCCCUACUUAAGACUACAGUGAAAGAUGACGUGAACAAGACCUCAGAUAACCAAGGGGGCACAGCAGGCCAGAGAGCCUGCCUAAAAUAGUUUAGCUUAGCCUUUUAGCCUGGAUAUUGGGGCUGUGUCAGUCUUGGUUGGCUUUGGUAGGGCACGGCUUGUGCACUGUAGGAUGUUUAUCUGUAUCUCUGCCACUGCCCCCUAGGUAGCAGGUCUUCAUAGGCAUGAGAAUGGAGGACAGCUACAGAUACUGUGCAGUAUACCCGGGAGGCAACUGUGGCUCCAGAUAAAGCCACUUCUUGAAGGGACAGGACCUAGAGCAGAAUGUGGUGGUGGUGGCCUUGGAACCAUGGGAGAAGGAAUCAGAGGAUAGCUGUGGAUAGGGACGAAUCCAAGGAGUAUGAUGGAGGCAUCUCCCCAGUGGAAGCUGAAGAGGCACAUGCCAGGCUGAGAAAAGCAAGGACUCCAGACCUGAUAAACAGGAAGGAGCUGAUGUCUUCAGACUGAUGCUGCCUCAGUUUCACAAUACGGGCAGCCCGCAGUCAGCACCUGGAGGAAAAGAAUCAGCAAUCCUUCCCGGCAUGGCCCAGAGUCUUCUCUGACCAAGGAGAGGCCCCAGGAAGGACACCUGGGAAUGCCACGGAAGGGCCAGCCAGAAGCCUUCCUUCCUGCCUACUUCUUGGAGACAGUUCUUUUCCAGAUGACAUUUCAAAGUAUUAUUUAAAAGUCACACGGACGCUGCCUGGCUAUGGUAUAACAGUAAAACGCAGAGAGCUAUUCCCAGGCAUUGUGGAAGAUGAAGCAAUAGGAUCAUAAAUUAAAGCCCUGCCUGGGAUGCAGAGGGACCGGAACACUAGCCUAGGGAACUGAGAUUCUUUUCACAUAUACAAAGUGGAGGAGGAGGAGAGGGAACGAAAAGGAGGUAAAGGGCUUGCCUAGAAUGUACUUGGCCCAGUGUUCAAUCCUCAGGAGUGCACAUUUUUAAAUGAUGAUGUUCCCACCUAUCUGUAUUAUCUGCGAUUAAAUGUGCAGCUUUGGAUGACUCGUGGGCACUCCUGAUGUAUACCAAACCACCUGCUCAGUACUGUUUAUUAUUCUUAGACAACUGGGUUGUUUAUAAGCUAGGUCUUAGAAACAUUAUUAGUCAAACCACUUGCUAAAUGUGGAUUCUAUGGACGAGGUUCUCAUGCUUGCAAGACAGACUCGUUGGUAUUUCAUGAAAUGAGUCCAGCCCAGUACCUUCUAUCUUAAUGUUAAGAGGCAAACUGUUAUCCAGACACACACACACAUAUACCUUACAAUCACACACACACCCUUGAAAUGUAAGGUGUAUAUUCAUGAUUUAUCUAUUUUAUAAGUAUCGCAUGUGUGCACCAUGUAGAUGCCCAUGAGGACCAGAAGAGAUGGGAUCCUCUGGAACCGGAGGUGUAGUCAGUGAGAAGCCAUCAGAUGUGCUGGUGUGGCUUCUGGGAACUGAACCCGGGUCCUCUGCAACAGCAAGUGCUCUUAAACUCUAAGUAUUGGCAUCAGGACCUCCGAAACCUGUGACAUCACAUAGGUGCUACAUGCACACCUGUUGCCAAGGCAAUAGCCACCAUAUUCCCAGAAUCCACUUGGCUCACCUCCCACCUUUACCUGCGACCACCUCACCAUCCAUAUAUAAAGGCCCCUCUGAUAUCUCUCUCUCUCUUGCCCCCCCCACCUCUCUUUCUGCCACCACCUUGCCCCCCCCCCCCUCAAUAAACCUCAUGUGGAACUGUUUGGCCUGGUGUGGUCUUUCUGAAGCCUCCUGAAGCUCACAACACUAAGUCUAUCUCUUGAACCAUGGAAAAAGUAUAUUUAAAAGAUAAUUAAAGUUUAGUUAGCAUAUCCUAAAGGAAUAUGAAUAGUUAAGAGUGACAUGAGUCAAAACAAGAUCUUAAGAACAUAAAAUUUGAAUUUCUUAGUAUACCAAAGAUAGUUCAGGUUUGGUGUUUUUAUUUUCCUUCUAAUCUUAAAAGGAUCUGCCAACUAGUGAAACCUUCAGGAAUUUUUUCCCUAAAAAGCCUCCAUGAUUUAACCUAUAAUAUGUAGUCUCUAAGAAUUAUUAAAAACAUAAGCUAUCAUGAAAUGUUUACCAUAAACUACUGUUUAUGUCAAACUCACAAACUGUCACUAUAUAUCUAAUUACAAACACAGCCAAAGGGCUGGAAGGAAAGGUAACAAGGUGGCGACCAAUUAAUUCUCUCUUUCGGGCUGCGUGGAUUUAUAGGAUGUGUGGGAUCUAUAGGCUUGCCUUUUAUCUUCACAUUGUAUCUGCUAUGGUUAAUAAAAGGUAUUUAAAAAUGGCGACAUGACUGUACUGUCACUUCGUGAAGGAUGAGUAAUCCCCCGGGGAGAGAGAACUCGGAUGCUUAAUGCAAAAGCCCAAGUUUCUGUCUUGCUCAGAAUCAGCUACAGGAGAAGAAGAGAAACUGGGACACUGGCUGGGGGAGGAAGAAGCAGAACAAGGAUGACUUGUGCAGGCCCAACUCUUUAUGUAACACCGGAAUAGCUUUGCCACCCCGGGUCUUCAAUUUCUUCACAAAGGCCUUCCAAUAAGACUCUCCUGUCUUGGUUUAGCUUACUGCUCCAAUGCCUAACUAUAAAAGAGGAUAUAUGUGUAACCACAUCCUUCGCAGGUUCCCAUGAUCGUGUUCUUAGGCACUUAUGAAAAUAUCAAAAGAAGGUUAUGGUUUUACCGAGAGGAGGAAAAGGACCCUGGAUUCUCCAAAUACCAUUCAAUGUACAAGGCUGUACACUGCUCUGUCCAAAGCGUAUGGCCUCCAAAUCUGUAUCCCCGAAACCUUUGGCAGCUUACAGAUAUGUUCCCGUUUGGGAAAUGACUAUGUUCCUGAUUUUGAGUUUUCAAGGACAGUUAGCUAGAACCCCGAACACAUGGACAAACACCAUGAUGUCCCCUCGACACUGGCCAGGCUCUCAGCUUGCUUGUACUUGGAAGUCUAAGGAGCAAAGAACUUCAAUAGAUCUUAGGUUCUGCCGCCUAUCCCCUGCACCCCACCCCCACCUCCAAACCCCCACCUAAGGGGCUGUCACACUCUUUUCUUGUCUUUCACUUACACAUCCAGCCCAUCAGCUGAAAGGGCUCUACAGUCCCAGUGAGCCCCCAUCUCUCUCCUUUCCACACCUGAAGCCACCACUACUCUGGUGUUGAAGACAUCAUCACCCGCCCUAGGCUAAUGCAACAGCCUCCUAACUAGCCAGGGGCCACUCUCACCUGCAACAAUAAAAGAUAGCAAACCACACCCAUUUCUGGCAACAGGGAGACUCUCAACCAUAAAACUACAAAUUCUUUCUAAUAGUCCACACCGCCCUGAGGGGCCCUGGCUCCUGCCUGCUCCCUAAACCUCACUCUGAGGACUCUCCCACUGGCCUUUCUCCCACUUAAACCUUUCAAGUUCAUUUUGAGACCUGCCUCUUUCUGAAUGUGUCUCCUGAAAGUGCCUCAUUUUUAAAGGAAGUCCAAUGACUCUUUAUGCUGACAGGAACAUAAAUAGGAAACGUGUUUAGAUCUCAAAAUUCUUUUUAGUUAGUCAUCCCAUUUCCAAGAGGAAAAAAAAAAAAACAAAAAACAAAACACAAAAACAAAAUCCAGUUUAAAACCUUUUGGGUUUGCCCAAAGACAUUCACAUCUUUCCCCACUUUCUUAAAACAUGAACAAAAACAAAACUAGAACCUUCCAGCAGACAUGAUAAAAUAAGAUGAGGAACACCCAGAAAACCGAAUGUCAUUAUGUAUCACUUGGUGGAGUAAGUUACAAUGUUACAAGGGCAAUCAGAAAAGCCCACAUUUCCUCCCAAAAGGUAAACAGAGAGAAGCUGCUCAGGUAUGCAAUGAUGCUGUAGUUGAUAAUCUUUUCCUUCUUUGUGUUUAGACUUAGAAACGUCUGUAAUUUUUCCAUUGAGAGGGGAAAACCCCGUUUUAUCUUUAACAAGAACAAAUAAUGCUAUAAUCGUUAAUGUUCCAAGGCUCUACUGAAGGGAUAUACUGAAAAGCACAAUGUUAAACAUCUACAUAAUGAUAUAUACAAUACAUUGGGUGUGAGACAAGCUUGCAUAAAGAAGUGGUCCAAAAAACCAAUAAAAAAUUAACAACCAACCAGACGGGAAGGGACAAAAAGCUACAAGCAAGUACUUUAUAGAAAGGAAAUAAGAAAGCACUAAGAGUACUGGACACUUCAACUAAUUAAAGACAUAAAAGUGAUGGGUUUCCCAUCCAGGCUGGCAAAGGAGUGACAAAUCAGGGUAAUACAAGCACAGGAGAGAUGCUGUUCUCAGCACCAGCUGCAGCCAGUAGGAGCUAGUGUGCAACUUCCCAGGGUUGUGCUAUGUGGAAGCCUGGCAGCUUUGGGGAGCGUGUCACCAGGCCAGGCUCUGAAGGAUAGAUCUCCUUUCACUCCAUCCUGCCUUUUCUGCUUCCUGGUUUGCGCUAAAAAUGCUCUCAUCACCUUGAACCUCAUCAUGCGUUCUUGACCAAAGUGGACUAAAAGGCAGAAGCCCUUGAGUCUCAAGUACCUAAGCUUGCUCUUUUAACUGGGGUGGGGUGGGGAGGGAUGGGGAGGGGUGGAGAGGGGUGGAGGUGUGGGGGGGUGACCCAUGUGUACAUGUAUUCCCUUGGCCACUGUUCCUCAAAUGUCAUACAUCUGCUCCUUUGGCACACGUUCUCUUGCUGGCCUGAUGUUCACUAGGAAGGCUAGGCUGGUCAGUGGGUCCCAGGGUUCCUCCUGCCUCCACCUCACCGGAACCAGAAUUACAGGUGCACAUUAGGAGUCCCACCUUUGUUUUCACGAGGGUGGGGAGGGGACUAUGGCUACUGCAAGCACUUUACCAACUAACUGUAUGCCUAGCCUGACUCUGGGAACCUUCAGGUUUGAUCCAAGAUUCAAGACUAGUAAUUUUUUUUUUUUUCAGAAACCACAGCUACACCAAUAAACCCCAUGGGGGUUUUCAAGAUAGGGCAGAUGUAAGAUAGCAUCCUAAGCUACAUUAACGGGAUUUUGAAAAACACACAAGCCAUUUCACAUGCUGGAAAGCAACACAUAGACAGGGAGAGAGAGAGAGAGAGAGAGAGAGAGAGAGAGAGAGAGAGAGAGAGAGAGAGAGACAUUUAAUUAAGAUGCUCAGAAAAUCCAGGGGGGAUAUCAGGAGAUCAACUCAAGAGCAUGCUGGAAUAAGAAAAAAAGAACCCACGGUCUAAGAGAAAGGAGCCAGGAUUUCUAACCUCAAACCGCAGGCCUCUACAGCUUCCUCCGCAGGGAAGCCGUGGAUGCGGUUGACAGGCAAGCCAGCCCGGUAGCAGCAGCUCAGCUGUUAGUCUGGCAGGGAGGAGAGGUUUGGCAAUCCUGCUGUCCUGUCCCUUGCCAUGUGCAUCAGCCUCUGCUCCACACCCCGGCUCAGACCAGGAACAUUCCCAGCUCUUCCCCAUGCUUGGACUCAUGAGAUCAAAGCCAAUCUGACCCAGAACUAUGCUAAUUCUUCAAGAGGACGAGUUACAGAACAUGAAAUUUCCAUAAGCUGGCCAUUUUCAACCGAUAGCCGUUCUUAUCGUCAGGAUUGUGCUACUAAAACGGCAAAGUAGAUCUAUCUAUACAUAGCACUGUGUGUGCAACUUCUAAAAGACACGGGGAUGAAAGCUGCUGAGAAAUCAGUGAAUUUUAUUGUAAUAGACGCUGUGGUCUGCUUUGCAACAGAGCCAGGUGUCUUACCACAUUGUGAUGGUUAACCUUGGUCACUGGGGGACACCUGGGAGGUUACACAAGCAGAGCUGAAAUUCCAUGUGAAUACAUUUUUAGUGUAUCAACCAAGGCCGGGGAGGGGUGUGCUGCCAAUGGAGGCAUAAUGUGGGCUGGGCCCCAGACAGAGCAAAAGGGAAAGAAAGGGUAUGGCAUGGCUCUACUGCCUUCCAUCAUGAGGUGAGCAGCCUCCUCCUUCUUCCUCAAGGUUCAGAGUUGCUUAAGGCCCCAGGUGAUGGAGACAGCUACCCAUGGACUGAAGCAUCUGAAAUCAUGAACCACUCAAGCUGUUUGUCAGGAACAGUAAGAUGGUUCUUUGGGUAAAGGGGCUUUCCACCAAGGCUGAUAACCAGAGUGUGAAACACAGUUACACGCUGAAGUUGAGAACCAACUCUCACAAGCUGUACACACACAGGUGGGCAUGCAUGUAUACACACAUGCACAUACACUCCCCUCCUUAAAUAUAUAAAUGUGAUAAUAGAAAUGACUGCUAGGCUUUUUUGGUUGCACUCAUACAAUUAGCAUCAUGGCAAUAUCUACUUUGCUACGGUUUCCAGUCAGAUGGGUUUCAAGCAGUGGCUCAUUUUACUCUGUACUUCCCAGCAAGAGGAACUUUUUUUUUUUUUUUUUUUUUUUUUUUUUAAAUAGGUUUGCCGGUUGUCUGCAUCUAUUCUCUGUGGCUUACACAUUUUGUUUUAUUUUGAGUCAGUCUUGUUCCUCAGCCAACCUGCAGUCUUCCAGCCUGGGAUUAUAAGUGCAUACCACCACACUCGGCUCAUGUUUAUUAAUAGAUUCCUUACUCACCUUUCCUUUGAAUAUGCUGUUCUUAUCCAUUUCUAAGUUACUGGUACAAUCUCAUCUGAUCGGAAGCUAAGCAGGGUCGGGCCUGGUUAGCACUUGGAUGGGAGACCAUUACUACUCUCUCUACUUAAAUCAUGUAUCUUCUACUACACAAGGGUUUUCCCUUAACAUAUGCCCCACUGUCUUACCCGCAUUAAAUUUUGCCCAAGUCCUCCCACACAGCACGAUUUUACAGUUUCUUACAUUUGCCUCCUAAAAACUGUCUGUAUGCGGCUAGGGGUCAGAAGAUUCUGGGGCUUGUCAGAUCACACUGACAGAAUCAUCCCUGCGUCCUUCCUGCCACCCCCGCUCCAGAUGAAGAGAUGAUGGAGCCUGCUCUGUCCACCGGAUAGCAACAUGCUUUUCUCAACGCUGUGCAUCCAUCUAUCCCUUGCCCAGUGAGACAGCCACGCACUCUCUGUUUGGUUCCACCGAAUUCUUUGGACCUUGAAUCUAUCCCACGUGGCUUUGACCAUGAAAACCUUUCUCAGCAUCCUUCCCUCACAUUCUGUGCUCACUUGAUUUCCUUCCCUCACAUUCUGUGCUCACUUGAUUUCCUUCCCUCACAUUCACCUUGGCUUCUCCCCAGAAUUAUGCAUUUAUCCUUUGAUAGAAACACCAGGAUUGUUUUUAUCCAAUUUAAAAAAAAACACUCUGCAAUUCCUAAAAGGAUCUCCAUAAAUUUACUUAUGAAUUUUGCGUUAACUACAUUCAUUGUUUUAUUUAUAGUUUCAUCCCUUCAGGUUUUAUUUCAUAUUUUUCACUAAGAAUGAUGUUGGAAUGGUAUACUGAUUGUUUUUUUUAAAUUAUUUUUUUUAUUAUUAUUUUUGGUCAACGUGACAUAAGCUACGGUCAUCUGAGAAGAGAGAACCUCAGUUUAAAGAAGAUCUUAUCACACUGCCUCUAGGCAAAUAUGUUGGGGGUAUUUCCUUGGUUAAUGGUUAAUGUAGGAGGGCCCAGGUCAGUGUGGUGGCGCCAACCCUGGGCAAAUGGUGUUCCUGGACAGUAUAUGAAAGCAGGUUGAACUAGCCAGUGAACAUUGUUCCUGUCUGGCUUCUACUUGAGUUCUUGCCUCCAGGGUCCUCCCUUGGGUUCCUGUCCUGACCGCCUUUCCUAAUGGAGUACACCUGUAAACUAUAAAACUCCCGGGUUGCUUUGUCAUGUUGUGUAUCACACUGACAGAAAGAAAAUGAAGACAGAAACGGCACCAGGAGUGUGGGAUGUGAACGCUGUGACCACCGUGGGAAGGACUGUGGAGGUGCUCAGAAGAGUGGGCUCUUACAGCUACCGAGUGAGCAGAGCUUAAUGGGCUGUUGUGUAAGAGCCUGAAAGAGAAGACUGUUGAGAGCAGUGCAGAAGAUGGAGCCUGACUUGUGAGGCUUCAGAGGGACUUUUGAGAGUCCCUUCAAGACUACUGGGACCAUUCGAAUUCAGGAUCAGUGGUUCUGGCCAGCUGGGACUGAUGAAUCAACUCUGAAGAGCCCAGAACCACAGAACCACAGAACCACUCAUGGGAAUUCUUUGCUUUGUUAGGACAAUCAGACUUAGUCACUGGGGCUGGGAAAUUAGUGGCGAUUAAGAAGAGACCAGCAUCAUUGAGAUGAAAUCUAAGAAGUGGUUGCUCGGGGUCAGCGACCAGGAGCUGUGGUCUAUCGAGAGCCAAGGAUGUGCCUUGUGUCCGCAGCUGAAACUGGUAACGUGUAUGAGUGUCUCAGGCGGUCCUGGUUUGAAGACAGGGAGAGCGUCUGAAGAUUGGCACUGUGAGAGAUCAGGGGAGUUGUGGAUGCAGCCUCAGACGCAGUUGAUACCUCAGGAUUGAAAGAGUCAUGCAGAGAAGAUGGGGCGUGGAAUGCUUUGACAUGGUCGGAGUACCUGAAGGUAGCCCAAAGGAAGGCUAUUGGUGAAGGGACAGCCAUGUAGCAACAGAGAUACCAGAAUUCUGGAGAUGCCAGGACUGUGGGAUGAGCAACAAGGAUAGCAAUAGCUGUAGAGUAGAGCUGGCCUGAACCUAGGAGACAAGCUAUGUGUCCUGUCAAGGAAUGGCCGGGCUCGAGACCACCCAGAGGAUUUUGAAUGAGUCUCAGACAGAAGGUCAACGACUCUAUGAUUCAACACAGAGUGCUGGGUGUUGGUUUUACUUUGUUGAAAUUGUGAGCGUUCCUUGGUUCAAUGCGUGUAACUCGUUUUAUUCUGCAGGAACCUACAGCUGAGGGACUCUGGUUCUUAAGAAACUGUGAAUUUUCAAAGAGCCUUUGUAUAUUUGAAGGAGACUGAGCUUUUAAAACAGACGGUGGAACAUUAAAAGUCAUACUAGGCUUUAUAUUGUGAUAUUAACAUGAGAUCUGGGGGACAAACAAGAAGGGCAUUUUAGCAGUGUCAAGCUUUUGUGUGUCAAGGUGACAACUGCUCAAUUGUGCUAAAAAAUUAAUUAAUUGUCAACGUCACACAAACUAGGGUCUUCUAGGAAGAGGAAUUCUUCAUUGAGAAAAUGCCUCCUUAAGAUUUGCCUGGAGGCAAAGCAUAUUUUCUUGAUUGAUGAUUGAUGUGGGAUGCCUCAGGUCACUGGGGUGGUGCAACACCUGGCCACGUGGUCCUAGAUGGUAGGCUAAGCAAGCUGUUACACUGUUUCUCUAUGGCUUCUUCUUCAGUUCCUGCCUCCAGGUUUCUGCCUGGAAUUCCUAUCCUGACUUCCCUCCAUGAUGAGGGGUGACCAGAGAGCUAUAAGAGAAAACAAACCAUUUCCCCACUGAGUUGUUUCUGGUCGUGAAUAGAAACCCCAAGUAAGAUCAAUGGUUGCCUUACACUUCUAUGCAUUUGUCUUUGAAAGAACAGACAUUUUCUUUAGAAUGUUUAUUGUUUGUGUUUUAAACCUAGCCCCCUUGACAAUUCUUACUCGCUUUAGAAACUGCUCUUCCUUAGAGGAUCUUGGAGUUACAGGCACACAACCCUUUCAGCAAGCCUUCAGUACAAUAUUAAAUCAUUGUAAAAGGGGGGCGGGAACUUGGUUGAUUCCUAAUUUUAAUCAAAACAGUUUGAGAGUUUUGACUUUUGAAUAUCUGCUGUUGUGAAAUACACACACAUACACACACACACACACACACACACAUACACAAAUACACGUGCGCGCGCCCGCACAUGGGAGCACCUUUGUUAUUUUUCUUCCUCCUGGUUUGCUUUUUUCAGAUUUAUUGUAUUAUUAAUAUCUACGACCUUUAUCAGCCAGCUCUGUUCUCUGCAGUCGGUGGCCUCUGCUGUCUUGGCAAGCACACAUCUCUUGACGCAUUUGUACAACAACCCACGACAACUGGAAGAGUCCCCUGUCCUUUAACUCCCAAGUACAGUGUAAUACACUGACUACAGUGUAUUGGCCUUACCCAAAAAUCUACUGGUUAAUAAGCUAUUGUAAACUUCAUGCAUAGAUAAUAUUACUCUACAUUGCUUAAAUGUUAUCAGUGGGGCUUCAGUGAUAGCUUACCACUUAACUGCUCUGGCAGAGGACCUGGUUUGAGUUCCAUUAAAAAAAUAGUUCAAAGUG